GGAGGGUGCAAGCGUUGUCCGGAUUUAUUGGGUUUAAAGGGUGCGUAGGCGGCUAUUUAAGUCAGUGGUGAAAUCCAACAGCUUAACUGUUGAACUGCCAUUGAUACUGGAUGGCUUGAGUACAGACGAGGUAGGCGGAAUUUAUGGUGUAGCGGUGAAAUGCAUAGAUACCAUAAAGAACACCGAUUGCGAAGGCAGCUUACUAGGCUGUAACUGACGCUGAGGCACGAAAGCGUGGGGAUCAAACAGGAUUAGAUACCCUGGUAGUCCACGCUGUAAACGAUGAUUACUCGAUGUGUGCGAUAGACAGUACGCGUCCAAGCGAAAGCGUUAAGUAAUCCACCUGGGGAGUACGAUCGCAAGAUUG
rnacentral:rRNA from 1 species